GAUAGUGAUGACAACAAUUAUCCACACAAUUCCAAUGAAGAGUUGUCCAAGUUCCCCACUCUUCCAAAAGCGCUCAGCGAACUAAGUUCACGUUUACAUUGUAGACAAAUUAAAUCUACCACUAAUUCAGUCUGUCAAAGUUUUCUUGCUCAUCCAAAGCUUACAUCAAGCAUUAAAACCUCUCAGUCACAACUACCUUCAACAAUACAUAACCUAGUUGUACCCAAAAAACCUAGCCAAUCAUGUUUUCUGUUAGCUGCAUCAAACAUACCAAUCAGGUCAACACCAAAAUCUACCCAGUCACGUCUGCCAAUUCCAGUCACGUCAACACCAUCAAACCAACUGAUAAGGUCAAUACCCAAGUCCGUCCGCACCGUCAGAUCACUAAAAACAGUAGCUAGUGAUUCUUCUACAGUCAAAUCAAGAAAUAGUGCAUCCAAUGAAGUAAAAGCACCGAUCCAUUAAAUGCAAAAUUCCAGAAGUCAGUUCUCUUCAAACUGUCACAACUCACCAUAGAAAUCUUGGAAGUUAAAAAGCUCCUUGAGCGACAAUCGAUGCCAGCUGCUUUACUAAGUGCUAACAACUCAAUGGACUCUUUGUAAAUUAGUGAUGGCCCCAUUGACACAGUUGAACAAUACAAGUCGUUGGCUUUUCGUUGUGAAAGUCCUGCUGCAAGUACUCUUUUGUUACAUUUGCUAAAGAAAAUUGGUGGAUCAGAUCUGGGAAAGACUACUGCGUAUAUUAUGUCGCGACUUUUUACUAAUUCUUUGAUGUCACAAAUGAACAUGGAUGGUCGAGGAAAUUUGGGGAAAGUUCCAUUCAGAAGAUCCUCUAUAUGUAAAGUUGUUGUUGAUUCUAUAAUGUACAAUUUCCCCAAUAUGUCUGUAGCUCAAGCACAUAAUGCUAUA
rnacentral:lncRNA from 1 species